UACUAGGAUAUUAAGAGUUAUGUUCUUUAAAUUUAAGAAAUUUGGCGGUGAUUUAGUCUAGUUAGAGGAACCUGUUUUAUAAACGAUACAACACGCAUUAUUUUACUUAUUUUAGUUAAUCAGCUUGUAUACCGUCAUUAUGAGAUAAUUUAGGAGAAAAUAUUAUUGAAAUUAUAUUGUUAAGUAUAUUAGAUCAAGGUGCAGCUUAUGAGUAAGUAGAUAUGGGUUACAAUAAAAUUUAUUUAAUAUGAAUUAAGUAUUUAAAUAUAUUUAUGAAGGAGGAUUUAAUUGUAAGAGAAGAAGUAGUGAGAUUUUUUGAUAUGAGCUCUAAAUUAUGUACAUAUCGCCCGUCGCUCGC
rnacentral:rRNA from 1 species